rnacentral:rRNA from 1 species
GGGAAUUUUCCGCAAUGGGCGAAAGCCUGACGGAGCAAUGCCGCGUGGAGGUGGAAGGCCUACGGGUCGUCAACUUCUUUUCUCGGAGAAGAAACAAUGACGGUAUCUGAGGAAUAAGCAUCGGCUAACUCUGUGCCA